ACACGACAUGAGGGUUGCUAUUCGCGUGGAACAAGUCUUUACGAAAACAUAUCUUGACGUGGGUGUCGAAAAGCAUUAGCUGUAAUCAAAUUUUCAAAACGGACAGCUGUCCCUGUGACGUUUUAGUCUAAAAAUUGUUAAUGUAUAACAUGCAUCAAAAUUAAAGCAGUUAGAUAUGCCUGAAGAAGCAAAUUCAUGCAUUUAUUAUUUUGGAAUAUUCGCAAUUGUAUUUCUAUUAAUAUACUUUUUUAAAAGAAUUAUUUGGCCGUAAUGGGUCUCCUCAUAACUCAAAACUGAGUUAUACAAAAAAUGUAAAUAAUAAUAAACACUUAUACGUUUCCGAAUAUCCUGUAAUGUAAAAUAAUAAAAUAAUUAAUUUUAUUUGUCGUA